CGAGCCUGCCAGGAUUCGAACCUGGAAUCUUCUGAUCCGUAGUCAGACGCGUUAUCUGUUGCGCCACAGGCCC
rnacentral:tRNA from 1 species